rnacentral:rRNA from 1 species
GGGUUGAUAGGCCAGAGGUGGAAGCGCCGCAAGGUGUGGAGCUGACUGGUACUAAUAGGCCGAGGGCUUGUCAC